GUUCAUUCGCGCAACGGCAACGAAGAAAUUUUCAAUGAUUGGUUAGUCUGUGUGAAAAAAUAUUAAAAUAGUGCAAACACACACAUAAAAAUACUUAAAAAUAUUUAAAAAAUACUAUUUUUUGGUUAUAUUUAUCAUAUUCAAUGGAAGUAUUACGCAAUUUUUGCAAAAAGUGCAGAAAAAUACAUUGAGAAAAUUUUGCAGGGUGACUUGUAUGAUUUUCGCCACAGAAAUCUUUCCACCACCUCAAGUACUAGGCAAGCAACGAGUAGAAAAGCAGCCGCCGCAGUAACAGCGGAUUGCGAGAAACGCAUUCGCGCCGUUUCUCGUUUUGUGAGACCGCGAGUGACCGCAUUUUAUUCUUUACUUACAUAUGCGUCUAGUAAAUAAUACUAACUGAAUAUUUAAUACUUAUUAUUAAAUUGUCACAAAAUAAGACGGCAAUAAAUAAUUUAAUUAUUGGCAAAGGGUUCGCACAAUAAGUAAUAUGGAUGUAUCCAAAUUGGAUAAGAUGAAGGUGAUAGACCUUCGAAAGGAGCUGGAAUCGCGUGGUCUUGAUACUAAAGGUGUAAAAGCGGUUUUGGUAGAACGUUUAAGGGCUUUUCUAGAAGAUGGCAUUGCAAUAGAAAGGGAGACUUCAUUACGAAAAACGAAAGGUUCUGCACCCGGUACACCAGGAACUCCUGGUAGAAGAUGCCGUCGUACUCGGUCCAUGACCCGCUCUCCUUCACCUUCACCAGUAAAAAUUGCAGCAGUGGAACCUAAUUUGGAGACACUAGCUGAAGAAGAUGAUAAUGCUAACUCUGAAAGCGCUCCUACUGAAGUUGAGGGCAAGGAGAUUUCCAGUGAAAUAGAAGCCGUUGAUGAAGAUCAAAAUCAAAACCAAGAAUCGGAAGAAAACGAUCAAGAGGAACACACAGAAUACGAGGUUGUUGAAAAAAUUGAUCAGAACGGAGAAGAUUCAAAAGGGGAAGAUAUUGAAGAAGAACCCGAAAAUGAAGAAAUAGAAAAUCAAUAUGAGGAAGAACGUUUAGUAGAUGGGAAACUUAAUAAAAGCGAUAUUGAAACGGUAGAGGAGGACCAAGAUAAUAAUGACAAAGAAAUGGAAGUUGAUCAAGAUAAUGAACCAAAAGAAGCAGUUAGAGAGGUUACUGAAAAGAACAAUGAAAAGGAGUUGGAAGAAAGUAAGCCGGAAGUUAGCCGUGAUAAACGCUCCCAUUCACGUUCACAUUCCAAAGAACGUCAUAAUCGUUCUCAUUCCCGCUCACGUUCGCGUUCCCGUUCUCGGUCAAAAUCACGAUCGCGCUCUCGAUCCAAAUCUACAUCUCGCACACCGAAACGUCGAAGCGGCGCUGGUAGUCAAAGUACACCGUCUAAAGCAGAAGAGGCAACAAAUCCUGAAGAUGAACCUACCAUUGAAGACAAGCAAUUUGGUUUAAGUUGGUUCGAUUCCGAUUUACAUCUGCGCAUUGAUCCGGUAACGUUCACAUCGGCGAAGCCCAUGUCACAUGAAAUAUAUUCAUUGAUUUGGUCUGGUGCACGAACAAAUUAUGGUGUGCGUGAGGGUAAAGUAUGUUUUGAAGUGAGAUUGGCAGAGGAAACCCAAUUAGUACGUGCACAUCAGUUCCGCGAUGAACCCCAUGUGCGCGGCUUUCGUGUCGGCUUUUCUUUGCCUGACACAACUUUAUUGCUGGGUGAAGCAGAAAAUUCAUUCGCUUAUUGUGAGACCGGUCGCAAAGCUACUAAUUCAGAAUUUACAGAAUUUUCGAAACCAUAUCAACUUGAUGAUGUAAUAGGAUGUUAUUUGGAUUUAGAGAGUACGCCUUGCAACAUUAAAUAUACCUUAAAUGGCGAAGAUCUUGGCAUGGCUUUUGAAUUUGACAAAAGUAUUUUGGGAGACAAUGGUGCACUAUUUCCACAUAUUCUGACUAAAGGUUAUGAGUACCAUGUGAAUUUUGCUGACAAUGAAAAUUUGCUAGCGAAUGUGGAGAGACCGAAACGUAUGCGGCGCAUACCGAAAAAGGAAAAAGAGGUUGAGAAAGAAAAGGAUAAAGAUAAGAAUGAAAAACCCAAAGGAGAAACCAGUAAGGUCUCGGAAGAAGGUGGUGCAAAAUCUGAAGAGGAAGUUGCUGCUAAAUCGAAACCAUCAACCCUUGAGGACGAGGAAAUGGAGGAAAAAAAAGAUGAAGGCAAUGAAACAACAGAAAUUCAAAAAACCGAAGAACCUAAACCGGCAGGCGAGGAAGCUGAACCAACAGAACAAAAAACGAGUGAGAAAGCUGAAAAUGCUGAACCAAAUGGUGAUGACCACAUCGCAGUUGAAGAUAAAGCAGAAGAUAAAAAAGAAGCUGAAAAUGCAAAAGAUAGCAAGAAAAAGAAUGAAGAAGAUGUGGAUGGACCCUCACCAAGCAAACGUAAACGUCUUGAUGAUGGUAAAGAGAAACGACGUGAGUCUUCCGAUGAAGAUGAAUAUGAAGAAAUCAUACCGGAACCACGUGAGCCAGUCUCUCUAUUAGUCGGUUAUGAACUGAUCGCAUUGAUACCAGAAGAAAAAUAUGUGCCUGGUCCGCAGCGACCUAACAGUCGGAAGGAAUGCGAAGUUAUUCUGUUAGUAGGCCUACCCAGUGCUGGCAAAACCCAUUGGGCAUUACAGCACAUCAAAGAAAAUGCCGAAAAACGUUAUCACGUGAUUGGAGCAGAUUCAUUGAUUGCCAAAAUGACCAUUGAUGGCGCGCCACGUAAACCCUUACAUAAGGGUCGUUGGGAACGUGUCUACGAAUUAUGCUUGAAUAAUUUGUCUCCAUUAGAGGAGAUUGCAACCAAGCGACGUCGCAAUUUCAUACUUGAUCAGACCAAUGCAUACGCAUCCGCACAACGGCGCAAAAUGAAAGGUUUCGGCGACUUCAAACGCAUUGCUGUUGUUUGCAUACCAAAUGAAGAAGAAUUGAAACGGCGCAACACUGAGAAAACAGAAAAGGGCAAUGCUAAUACAAUUAGAGAAUCAACAUUAAAUAAUUUACGAGCCAACUUUACGCUGCCAUCAAUUGAUCUGGAUUGGUUCGACGAAGUAAUCUACACUGACCUUAGUGGUGAUGAGGCUAAGGCGGAGGUCAAACGUUACAACGAGAAAGGCAAGAAGGCUUUGGAUGAAAGUCAACCGAAUAAACGCAAUCGGCGUGAUCAUCGUCAGCGCGGAGAUGAUCGACGUCAUCGCGAUGGUGGUGGUGGCGGCAGCGGAGGGCGACGCGAUUUUCAUCGUUGGAACGAUCGACGCGGUGGCGGCGGUGGCCACUCAGGUGGUGGUAAUCGCUGGGGCGGUGGCGGUGGUGGAGGUGCUCCCGGCUACCGUUCUGGCUGGCGAGACGAUCGCGGCUAUGGUGGAGGCAGUGGUGGUGCAGGUGGUCGUGGCUAUGACAAUCGCAACAAUCGCUAUAGCAAUGGUCCACAGAACUGGUCGCAAAAUAAUCGUGGUUCUAAUCGCUAUGAAGAUCGUUAUAAUCGCUCGGGCGGCGGUGGAGGUCGUUAUGAUUCUGGUGGCGGCGGAGGCCGUUACAGUUCUUAUGGUGGAAAUAGCGGUGGAGGCGGAGGUGGUGGCGGACGAGACUAUCGUGAUCGCGAUCAUAGAGAACGCAAUGCAGGCGGUGGUGGUGGCGGCGGUCGACGUGACAACUAUCGGUCCGGUGGUGAUAGCCAGCGGGAUUUUCGGCCUGGCCACCGCGACAAUCGUACAGAAGAUAGUCGCGGUGGCUAUGAGCGUUCGGGUGCGACCGGCGGCGCGGCUACAAAAUAUGGCAGUAAUACAAAUAAUGCUGUCGGCAGUGGGAGCGCCCAUGGUCAAACUGGCUACCAUGCGCAGGGGCAUGCGCAACAUAGUCAGUACAAUAGCAACAAAUCAGCGACUACAGGAAUGGGAGGUGGCAAGGGUUCCUCGCAAAGUGGCGGAAAAUGGAGCUCCUAUGGCCAGCAGCAGUCACAACAACAACAACAGCAACAGCAUCAAAUGUCCAGCGGCGGCAAUUGGCAACAACAAACGCCGCACCAUCAACAAUAUCAACAGCAGCAACAGCAACCUGCCGCACAGCAACAGUACUGGGGUUAUGGUGACAUGCAAGGUUAUGCCAAUGCUCAACAAGCACAACCAUGGGGAAACACCGAUUCAAGUCAACAACAAGAUUGGCUAGCAUGGUGGCAGCAAAAUCAGCAACAACCCCAAGCGACUGCUGGUAUGGGCAAUGCCAAUGACGCGAACCAAUAUUGGUCACAAUACUCCUACCAAUCGACAAUGACGGGCAAUGGUAGUACUGGGGUUGACGCUGCUGGGAAAAAGUGAAUAUCCUUGCAGCAGCAUGCGCAGUGACAUAGUACAAUUUCAAUAUAUAGAAGGGGGGAAAUAAAAGGGAAAAGUAAAUUACAAAUUUUAUUGUCGUACACAUGCAUACAACGCGUUGAAAUACACUUACAAUAAAACAACUUACAACAAACCCGUGGAACAUACAUACACACACACACAUAAAGAAAAGAGCGGUGCAGAGAUCGCGGGAAUGCUUGAAAGCAUAUCUCAUGACAUGAAAAGACACAAAUCAACGCAAUUAAAAAGAAAAGAAAAAAAAACAGUUAAAGAUACUAAGUUACUUGUUGCAAUAUGCCGCGAGACGCAUCUUUAUUCAACAUCAGCCAUGGACAACUUACAUUCUAAACAUGGAAAAUACAUUCAAUAAAAAUAAUCUAUGUAUAUGACCCUCCGCAUAACUACUUAUCAAUAAUUAAAUAUACCAACAACUCCCGUCAUUUUUGUAUAAUUAAAGUUAAGCAAAUUAGCGUAUAAAAAGUAUGAAUAACUUUCAGUUUUAAUUGCUUUCUUACAUUAUUACUGCUGCUACAAGUUUUUAUCAUUUUACUUAUUCUAUGUUCUUGUUCAUUUUCGUGGUUAUUUGCAAACAAACUAAAUAAUAACGUAUCUCUUUUUAGUUAUUCAACUUUUAUUUUUAAACUUUAAAAUGUUAAACCAUCGUUGAAAUAUGAAAAUUGGAAACCGAUGUUCUUCAACUUGGCCUUUAAAUUAUUCUUGUUACACAGAAAGAUUGUCUAUUAUCAAAAAAACCUUCUAAUUUUUAUUAAAAUUAUCUUUUUCAAUUGAAUAUUCAUAUAUUAUUAAACGAAUAGCUGAAGCAAUAGUUCACUGAAAAUAAGUAAAUAUUGCAUAAAUCAAAGAACAAUUGAAAAUUUAAUAAAUUUAAGAAUUACUAAGUACAUGCCGUAAGUGGUAAAAAAAUCAAUAUAA
rnacentral:misc_RNA from 1 species